rnacentral:rRNA from 1 species
AUGGAUGAUUUACCUCGCCGCGUACUCGGAGAAGUGCUUCCGCGGCUGGCGCUGCCGCAGCGCGUGCAGGUCGCCGCCGGGGCAGAACUCCAUGAGCAGGCACGAGAAGCGGUCGGUCUCCAAGUGCGCGUACAGGGUGGGGAGGAAGGGGUGGUCCAGGAGCUGCAGGAUCUCCCUCUCCGUCCGCGCCCUGCUCAGCUUCCUCCGCCCCGCCAGCGACGCCUUGUCCAUCACCUUCAUCGCGAAGUGGCACCCCGUCCCGCUCAGCUCCGACAGGUACACGCUGCCGAUGUCGCCGCACCCGAGCCGCCUCAGCAGCCUGAAGUGGCUCAUCCCCAGCGCGCCGCCCCGGGCCCGGACGGCGAGGAUCGCCCGCCACCGAGGGUCGUUCCCCUUGUGGGGCUUGCUGGCGGCUCCGGUGACGCUGUUGCUCCGGCCGCUGUCGUCGCUGCUGUCGCUCGCUUGGCUCCCGCUGGUCUUUAUGCUCUCCGUUGA